CUCUCAGGAGGCCAGCAGAAAAUGAAAGACCCCUGAAGCGGGGAGACCCUCACUCAAGUUUCGGGAUGACUCGACCACCCAAGAUCUCAUGAGAGACU
rnacentral:pre_miRNA from 14 species